UAUAGCCGAAUACGGGCAAACCGUAUGUUCGGUUGUGAAGGGAGCUUGAUCCGGCGACGAAUCAUUCGAUCCUGAAACUGCUGUCUACCCUGGU
rnacentral:ncRNA from 1 species